UCCUGCAUGUCUGAGGAUGGAUAGGAAGCACCCUGUCACCCUGUACUACAACAUGACAACACAACACCGCUACCGCUGCCUGUCAGUUACUACUGGCGUGAUCUUUAUUUCACACUCGAGUCGUUCAUUCGGUUACAAUGCCUGAGGUAAUAUCCCUGUUCUGGAGGCAUGUGAUGUUGAGCAACUGGGUUGUAAAGCGGUGAAGCUCUUUAUGAGUGUGGCGCUGACCCCUGCUCACACCGCACUGGGGCGUCUCCUUCGUGUGGACCCUGCCGAGACCCUCGCUGACAGACCUGCCCCAGCGUUUAGAGGCUGAAGGUGCAGGAAAGUCGGAGGUGGACAAGACAGUUGCCGUGGCUGGAGUUUCCGUGGUUGACGGAGUGUGAAGUUUCUCCUUACUCAUGUAAUAAUGGAUAACUCUGGAUUUCACAUUAGGUGGCACUGCGCCAGGCAUGUGCUCCAGAAAAGAACGCAUCCAGGAAGACAUAGAGGAAAAAACAGCUGGAUCCGAGGGGCAAUCCAGAAAGUUCCCCCCUGCUGGGUGCAGUGUGAGGAGGAUUGGGGGAGGUGAGGGCAGGUGAUGUGAGGAUAGGGGCAGGUCUCUGCUCUCAGCCAUCUCCUGUCUGGGAGGUUUGGGCCUGUGUAUAUGUGGUACUUCCUGCUGUGUCUAACGAGAAGGCAGCUAAUGAUGUUAAUUUUCCUAGAAAUUGCACUUCCUCAAAUGUUCUGUGCAUUCUGUGAAGUAAAUUAUUUAUAGAAUGUCAUGGGCUAAUGUUCCCUGUCUUUGUAUAAAUCUUCCCGGAAUAAGACAA